CUCACCUGCACUUUUCUUAUGGUUGAUGGCUCUCAAACCUUGAGGAGAAAAAAAAGGGAGUAUGGUUGAUUGUUUUCUGGGCUGGUAGUUUUAAUCAACCGUCUGCUGAGAGUGACCACUGGAGUUGAAUUUGCUACCAUGGCUCUUCCAUUUGGGGUGUCUUGGCUUUGCUCUCUGUUGUUAUGGGCCUGCAUUGGCUUUACUACUCAAAAAGGCUACAAUACUGCACAUGGCUACUCUCUCGAUGGUGAUGACUUCGGUAGCGAUGAAAGUGGGCCUCGCACACAAACUUCAAACAUGUUUGAUUCUGGAGAACCUUUAUUCACCAACCAAGAAUCUGUCAGUCCAAGGGAUGAAAUGCAAGCUCUGAGACGCCACAGCUUUAUUUCCCUUCAAGGAGAACCAGAGAACCAUGAAAACAAUGAGGAUGUUAGCUCUGUUACUGGCCUCAGUGAAGACAUGGUACAAACCAACCCAGACUCAGAACAUGUCCCUGCCCCCCCAGUGCAGAAAUAUGAGCAUAAAGGAGCUGGUAAUCAACACCCCUUUGGCCUUUUAGUGGAUGUGCACACACAAGAGAAACCUAUGGAGGGGACCAGUUUUCAGACAGUCAAAGAUUUCAAACGGUUUAUAGAAAAACUGAAGAGUUCAUUUUUGAUUCCAGGAGGUGCCUCUGGUCCACAUUUUCAAACUGCACGGGAAACUUUGAAAAAUGAGAUGGCUGCUAAUGCUCAAAAUAUAAAGGGGGAAACGGACAUGGGCUAUAGGUCUAAUUAUACAAAAGAAGUAACCGCCCAUGAUGACGCCAGUGAAAAUGAAGUUUGGAGUGAAGCUAUGAAUACAGCGUUUGAACAAAGUGAAAAUGGCACCAACUACCAAAUGCCAGGUGAAAACCCCUCUGUCCCAGAUCCUGACAACUCCACUGAAAGUCUCACUUAUUCCAGUGUUUAUGACAACCAAGACUCUGGCCCAGGGUCUGCUCUCUACCCACACCACCCAGAGCAUGUUUCACGUAAUUACGGUAGUUUUGACAGUUUUGGGGAAAACCCUGAUAUUUCUACAAGUGCUUCUUAUAAGCAAAAUGAAGACUUCCAGUCAAAAAACUUCAAUCUCCCUGAACAAAUACCUUCUGGCUCAUACUAUGGAGAUGAUUUGUAUUUUGGUGGCUAUGUGACUGCUCCCCCUGUCAGCCUUCCAUACAGCCCAUCUCAAGAUUUAAGCUACUACUCAAGCCAGAGAUCCAAUAUAAUGCCUUUAACCUCUAAGGUUAUUCAACAACCAACAACAUCUCACACUGGCGGCUUUGAACUUGGUGAAGAUUUCCAAAGUGAGGAGCUAGGCAGAGUGAACUCAGCCAAUGACCUGUCUGCACCAAUGCCCAGAUCUUUGAAUUCCUAUGCAAAAAGUGUACAUGUCAAUGGACCGAGAGGUCGAUACUACAUCCCAUAUCAGUUACCAAAACAUAGGGAAAGCCCAGCCCAACCAUUGGAGGCUUAUCAACCCACUGAAAACAAGCAAUCAAAGGCUGUAAACCACUCUCCCACCGCCCACCUGCUUGUAUCUUCUGGUUCCGUUUCUUCAAGCUCUGAUAACAUCUUACCAAAGAGAAGUAGCGGUCAUGUAGGAGUUCAAACAAGUAGCCCACAUGAUGCUCAGACUCGAGCUUUCAACAAAAAGCAGCCAGUCAGAUUCCACCGACUGUUUACUAGGAAACCUUUCAGCUUGCUUCAAGACUCAAGUGGACAUGAUGGAUAUCUCAGAGACCAGAUAGUCGAUGUUAGCCCUCCUUUCAACCUGGCUGCAAAAGACAGGGAGAAAUCAGACCUCUCCCAGCUAAAUCAAGCCGCUGACACUCGGGGACCAAAACAAAUGGCUGACAAUACCAUAAUUAUUCCCAUUUCUAGUGGCUUAGAUUCAACUCAGAGUGGGAUCUCAUCCUGGGCCAGAGACGAUGUGCAUUUGAACUCUCUUACUAACUUGGCUCCGACCUCAGCUUCAGAGAAGGCCUAUUCAAGAUUUUUUGGCAAUGAUAUACAUGGUGUCAGAAACCCCCAGGGCUUAUAUUCUAACCCACUACGACGAGGUCUUUCUGCAAACAAAGCUCUGCAGACCUUCAUAAAACCAAACAAAGAACAGCAGACUCCAGCCAAUGUGAAUAAAGAGCCUCGCAUUGUGGCCAACCUGCAUCUUAAACCACUGUCUGCAUCCAAGGUUUCUGAUUCUACUUUCAGUGAUGUAUUUUGGAGGAAUGGUGGCCACAGAAAAAGGCUUCCUUCUCAAAUGGGCCCAAACAGGUCACCACCAUUUGUAAAGGCAUAUGUUCACAAGUCCAGAAAUGAUUACAAAAGGAAGAGACUAUCUCUAUCAAAGACCCAUUAUUCACCAUAUCAGGUGGAUGAAUACAAGAACAAUGUUUACCGCAAUGUAAAGGAUUUGAAGAACAAUAAAGAAGGAUUGAAACCCUUCAAGUGAAGCACAACAUGGAUCUGCUGCCAUCUUCAUCUUCGAGGUAAAUCAAGUUUAUGUGCUUCUACAAACAUCUGCUGUGAUAAUGAAAGCCAUGAAAAAGUUUAUUACCUCAUCUUGCUGUUGUCACUCGGGGCACAGUCCGAAGUCCUGUCGGUCAGAGUGGUUGUUGCUGGGAGCUGUUCUGCAUCAGCGACAAAUUUGUGCCUUAAAAAUUGAAAUAAAGUUGAACAACAAAACAGA